CUGUGGGCUCAGCUCUGGG
rnacentral:miRNA from 1 species